UUAAGUUCAGCGGGUAUCCCUACCUGAUCCGAGGUCAAACUGUGAAGAAGUGACUUCUGGUCGCCGAUCCGCCGGGCCUCGAGUUCGCGUUUCUGCUGCGCUCGAAGCCAACGUACCGGCCGCCAAUGAUUUUGAGGCGAGUCCCCGCGGUGAGGCGGGGACAGACACCCAACACCAAGCUGAGCUUGAGGUUUCAAAUG
rnacentral:misc_RNA from 1 species